CACAUACUGUGAGCUCGAUGAGUAGGGCGGGACACGUGGUAUCCUGUCUGAAUAUGGGGGGACCAUCCUCCAAGGCUAAAUACUCCUGACUGACCGAUAGUGAACCAGUACCGUGAGGGAAAGGCGAAAAGAACCCCGGCGAGGGGAGUGAAAAAGAACCUGAAACCGUGUACGUACAAGCAGUGGGAGCCUCUUAAUGGGGUGACUGCGUACCUUUUGUAUAAUGGGUCAGCGACUUAUAUUCUGUAGCAAGGUUAACCGAAUAGGGGAGCCGAAGGGAAACCGAGUCUUAACUGGGCGUUAAGUUGCAGGGUAUAGACCCGAAACCCGGUGAUCUAGCCAUGGGCAGGUUGAAGGUUGGGUAACACUAACUGGAGGACCGAACCGACUAAUGUUGAAAAAUUAGCGGAUGACUUGUGGCUGGGGGUGAAAGGCCAAUCAAACCGGGAGAUAGCUGGUUCUCCCCGAAAGCUAUUUAGGUAGCGCCUCGUGAAUUCAUCUCCGGGGGUAGAGCACUGUUUCGGCAAGGGGGUCAUCCCGACUUACCAACCCGAUGCAAACUGCGAAUACCGGAGAAUGUUAUCACGGGAGACACACGGCGGGUGCUAACGUCCGUCGUGAAGAGGGAAACAACCCAGACCGCCAGCUAAGGUCCCAAAGUCAUGGUUAAGUGGGAAACGAUGUGGGAAGGCCCAGACAGCCAGGAUGUUGGCUUAGAAGCAGCCAUCAUUUAAAGAAAGCGUAAUAGCUCACUGGUCGAGUCGGCCUGCGCGGAAGAUGUAACGGGGCUAAACCAUGCACCGAAGCUGCGGCAGCGACACUAUGUGUUGUUGGGUAGGGGAGCG
rnacentral:rRNA from 1 species